AACAGUUUAUGCCGCAUGGCAUAAGAGUGAAAGGCGCUUUCGGGUGUCGCUGAUGGAUGGACCCGCGGUGCAUUAGCUAGUUGGUGAGGUAACGGCUCACCAAGGCCACGAUGCAUAGCCGACCUGAGAGGGUGAUCGGCCACACUGGGACUGAGACACGGCCCAGACUCCUACGGGAGGCAGCAGUAGGGAAUCUUCGGCAAUGGACGAAAGUCUGACCGAGCAACGCCGCGUGAGUGAAGAAGGUUUUCGGAUCGUAAAACUCUGUUGUUAGAGAAGAACAAGGACGUUAGUAACUGAACGUCCCCUGACGGUAUCUAACCAGAAAGCCACGGCUAACUACGUGCCAGCAGCCGCGGUAAUACGUAGGUGGCAAGCGUUGUCCGGAUUUAUUGGGCGUAAAGCGAGCGCAGGCGGUUUCUUAAGUCUGAUGUGAAAGCCCCCGGCUCAACCGGGGAGGGUCAUUGGAAACUGGGAGACUUGAGUGCAGAAGAGGAGAG
rnacentral:rRNA from 1 species